rnacentral:piRNA from 1 species
UAGAAAAAAAUUCCAUAUGAACCUUUUGAA